ACUAGAAAUGUACCAACUCAAAGUUAUAUUUUUUACCAAGGUAAACACACAGAACAUAAUAAAAAAAUUUUUUUUUCAGACCCAGGCUUAAGUCCAGGAAAAACUUUAGACCCAGCUUUGGUUGUAGCUAAUGCGAGAACUGGAAAGAGCUAAGACCACAGAAAUCUUCCAAGAAACAGAGAAAGAAGAUGCAAGAAAAAAGCAGCUACAUUUCCUCAAGACUUUCCUMAUGACUUCAAGAAAUUCAGUGGCUGCUACUAUUGCUAGCUGGCUCAAUCUUCUCAAUUUUGUAAUAUAUCUGCUUCAGUGACAGAUGAGGGAGUAGUGCUUUUGCUCUCAAAUGUUUCCCUAUGACCCUCAGUCUAGGACUCUUUCUAAGACCUGACAGAAAGUUAAAUAAAACAAUGCACUUAUUUGAACA
rnacentral:lncRNA from 1 species